AAGGAAGCCAGCGCCGUACAUAGCCUUGACAUUGUCUGGUGCCUUCGGAAGCCUGUGACAACCAACGAACAAUGCGCAUUUCUCACGAUGCAUCCAGCGUGCAUGACCUUAGGCGGGCGCCAAAGAAGCCAGCGCAGUACAUGGCCGAAUACAUUGCCUGGUGCCUUCGGAAGCCGGUGACGACCAACGAACAAUGCGCAUUUCUCACGAUGCAUCCAGCGUGCAUGACCUUAGGCGGGCGCCAAAGAAGCCAGCGCAGUACAUGGCCGAAUACAUUGCCUGGUGCCUUCGGAAGCCGGUGACGACCAACGAACAAUGCGCAUUUCUCACGAUGCAUCCAGCGUGCAUGACCUUAGGCGGGCGCCAAAGAAGCCAGCGCAGUACAUGGCCGAAUACAUUGCCUGGUGCCUUCGGAAGCCGGUGACGACCAACGAACAAUGCGCAUUUCUCACGAUGCAUCCAGCGUGCAUGACCUUAGGCGGGCGCCAAAGAAGCCAGCGCAGUACAUGGCCGAAUACAUUGCCUGGUGCCUUCGGAAGCCGGUGACGGUGGCGUCCAAACGUCAUUGCCGGCUGGCGGUGCAACAGGACGUCGAAGACGACCUCAGCGUGUCCACAGAGUGUGAUUUUCGGGCGCCUGCGUAAAAG
rnacentral:lncRNA from 1 species